GGUUGAUCUUACUGUUCUAUCUGGUGUUCUAUGGCUUCCUAGCAGCACUCUUCACAUUCACAAUGUGGGUUAUGCUUCAGACACUGAGCAGUGAUAUACCAAAAUACCGUGACCGGAUUUCUAGUCCAGGACUUAUGAUCUCACCAAAGCCAGACACCGCACUGGAAUUUUACUUUAACAAGAGUGACAGCCAGUCAUAUUUGGAAUAUGUUACUACACUUAAAAGUUUCCUUGAAUCAUACAAUGAGUCAAAGCAGUCCCAAAACAUAGAUUGUACACCAGGGAAGAUUUUUGAGCAAAAUGAUGUUGCUGUUAAAAAGGCCUGUCGAUUCAACCUCUCUGAUCUGGGGCAGUGCUCUGGAAAGGAAGAUACGAAUUUUGGGUAUUCCAAAGGAACUCCCUGUGUGAUUGUGAAAAUGAACAGAAUAAUUGGAUUAAAGCCCGAAGGAGAACCACGUAUACAGUGUACACCUAAGUGCACCUUAGACAGUUUUGUAAAUGAUGGGAUGAAGGCAUGGUUGCUAUAAAUUAUUUUCCUCCUCAUGGCCUGAUAGACUUGAUGUACUUUCCAUACUAUGGGAAAAGCUUGCAUGCUCACUAUUUACAGCCUCUAGUGGCUGUUCAACUAGCAAUUCACCCCAACAGUACCAAAGAAGAAAUAGCAAUUGAGUGCAAGAUCCUGGGCUCACCUAAUUUAAAAAAUGAAGAUGACCGUGACAAGUUUCUGGGACGAAUUACCUUCAAAGUUCAGAUGUCUGAAUAGCUGGAGUAAAUGUUCUCCACAAAGUAAAUGUUGUGUUGUCUGUUUUGUAUCAGCUGGACAUGCCAUUCUUAGGAUAUGAGACCACCUUGGAGAAUGUUAAGGUGGUUUAUGGCGUUCAGGGUAGCAUAAUAAUAUGCUUCCAAAUUGUAUGUUUAAAAUCCCUUAAAAUAAAUGCCUAUCCUGCUUUUGCCUGCCCCAUUGGAACAGUGUACAGACUAUAGUUAUGUCAUAGGGACCUGUAAAUAGCUGUUUUCAAACACAUAAUAAUGGUGACCUUUGUCCUGUUCUAAAACGUGGUUUUAUCCCCCAAGUGAGUGUCUCAAGCUUAAUGUGCUGUGCUCUGUAAAUAUUGUAUUGAUUUAACACUGGUUUAACUGUCAUAUCUCAAUGCUGACACAGUUAGAGGGAUAAAUAAUAAAUGGUACCUGAUUGACAUAGUGAGUUCUUUGUAAGAGUAAACACCUCCAACGUAAAUCGUGUGGAUGGGAGUGGGUGGGUGGAAGGAUGGCUGAGUGGAGAUGCCUUAAAUUGUAGACUGGGUGGCGUGGGAGAAUUGAAAUGAGUUUUAAGAGUUGGUAUGAAUUUCUGAAAGUAAGUGCUCAACUAGUACUUCCUUGUGCUUGUCACUGUGCAAGUAUUGUGUACAUGUAAUACUUGGUAUAGAGUUUGGUGUUCUAGCUGAGGAAUUGAAUCUUUCUUUGUGUUGUUAAUUGCUUGUAAUAUGUGGAGCACAAAUAAAAUCUAUACAAUAUUUUAAAACUUUUUAGUUCAGAAAUAUUGAUAGCAAACAGUUUAAAUUGUUUAGGGUCAUGGUAACAGUUGUACAACAGAGCUGCUUGAAAAAAGUGGCUUCACUAUUGUGGGAAUAGGCUUUCAUUUUCCAAUUAAAAAGUUUUCUGAAGAACCUCUGUUUAUGAAAAAAAAAAGGAAAAAGAAAGGAUUGUCUUGAUUAAACAUUCCUGUUUAAUUUAUAUAUCUGUUUCGUUGCAUCAUUUUAACAUCUCAUGUCUUCAUCUGCUCUUUCAUCUUGGACUUUGUGUGUAUUUCAUCAUCAUCCAUUUAGAAAAUUGGUAUCAUCAGCUGCUUCAUAGAAAUAUCCUGUUGAGCUGCAGUGGAUUACCUGCAGUGUAACUCCAAAGGCAGUUGCUAAAAUGCCUACAAACAGACUGGUUUAUUUGUGCCUGAUGCUCACAUUAAACCAGGCUGACCCAUUCCAUUGGGCUGUAACUUGGGCAGCUGUGCUGACAUGUGAUUUAUGCUACUCUUCCCCAGGGUUUUGUUUGGUUUGGUCUUGGGGGGUGUGUUUUUUUGAGCACAUGGUCCACAUUCUGAUGUCUUCUUAAUAUUAAAGACCACAGCGAAUCCGCAUUUGUGUAAAUACCUGUACGUUCUGCUAGUUAGGCCUAAAUUUGUUACUUAAUAGGCUUUUGUACCUAAUUGUUACAGUGGUUUUUAAUAUUUUAUUUAAACAAAUUAAAUGAAGGAUUUCUAAAAUUAAAGAUCCAAUCUUAUUGCCCUGCUUUAAAAAAGUUUGAGUCCAGUCUAAGCCACAUUAGUGAAAAACUUUUAACAGCUGUGCAAGUUUACACUGGUGCACAGUUGGAGGAAGCUGCUCUUAAUGGGACUUGAACAGUGUCUUAAACCUCAUUAAAAAUAGAUUUAUACUGAUCUGAUACCAUUCAGCAUGCUUUUUUGUUGUCUACAAAAGAAAGUUGUUGUUCCUACAAUAUGCAAUGGAUAUUUUUGUAAUAAUGGCAUGCAUUAAUACUGAAUGAGAUGUUCUUUUAAAAUAUUCCAUUACUAAUGUUUUAAAUGAUGCACUUUUAGAGCUGGGAUACCUGGCUUCUUGAAGAUAUGACUAAUUGCUUCUCUGUGUAUUAAUACUGCCUGAAAGUAUUUUAAUAGUUGUGAGGGAACUUAAAUGUAGAUGUUGCAUCUGACAAUGAAAAGGAUUCACUUCAUGUAAAAACUUUUCACAUUUGUGUUCACUUAGGAAUGGUAAGAACUUCUGGAAAAACACUCAGUUUUCAAAUGAGUUUGUUUUUUGCAACAAUUUCUCUUUUGACUUAUCUAUAUAGACAAAGCAUGAAAUGGCAACUCUUCACCAGCACUUUUCAGACAGGUAAAACUCAAUAAACUCCUGUUCUCCCUA